GGAGUUUGAGCCUGGAUCAAAUUGAACGCUGGCGGCAGGCCUAACACAUGCAAGUCGGGGGGUAACAGGGAGAAGCUUGCUUCUCUGCUGACGAGCGGCGGACGGGUGAGUAAUGUAUGGGGAUCUGCCUGAUGGAGGGGGAUAACUACUGGAAACGGUAGCUAAUACCGCAUAAGGGCUCCGGACCAAAGCGGGGGACCUUCGGGCCUCGCACCAUCAGAUGAACCCAUAUGGGAUUAGCUAGUGGGUGAGGUAAUGGCUCACCUACGCGACGAUCUCUAGCUGGUCUGAGAGGAUGAUCAGCCACACUGGGACUGAGACACGGCCCAGACUCCUACGGGAGGCAGCAGUGGGGAAUAUUGCACAGUGUGCGGAAGCCUGAUGCACCCAUGCCCCGUGUAUGAAGAAGGCCUUAGGGUUGUAAAGUACUUUCAGUCGGGAGGAAGGUGUUGAGUUUAAUAUACUCAGCAAUUGACGUUACCGACAGAAGAAGCACCGGC
rnacentral:rRNA from 1 species